AGAGUUUGAUCCUGGCUCAGGAUGAACGCUGGCGGCGUGCCUAAUACAUGCAAGUCGAGCGAACGGACGAGAAGCUUGCUUCUCUGAUGUUAGCGGCGGACGGGUGAGUAACACGUGGAUAACCUACCUAUAAGACUGGGAUAACUUCGGGAAACCGGAGCUAAUACCAGAUAAUAUUUUGAACCGCAUGGUUCAAAAGUGAAAGACGGUCUUGCUGUCACUUAUAGAUGGAUCCGCGCUGCAUUAGCUAGUUGGUAAGGUAACGGCUUACCAAGGCAACGAUGCAUAGCCGACCUGAGAGGGUGAUCGGCCACACUGGAACUGAGACUCGGUCCAGACUCCUACGGGAGGCAGCAGUAGGGAAUCUUCCGCAAUGGGCGAAAGCCUGACGGAGCAACGCCGCGUGAGUGAUGAAAGUCUUCGGAUCGUAAAACUCUGUUAUUAGGGAAGAACAUAUGUGUAAGUAACUGUGCACAUCUUGACGGUACCUAAUCAGAAAGCCACGGCUAACUACGUGCCAGCAGCCGCGGUAAUACGUAGGUGGCAAGCGUUAUCCGGAAUUAUUGGGCGUAAAGCGCGCGUAGGCGGUUUUUUAAGUCUGAUGUGAAAGCCCACGGCUCAACCGUGGAGGGUCAUUGGAAACUGGAAAACUUGAGUGCAGAAGAGGAAAGUGGAAUUCCAUGUGUAGCGGUGAAAUGCGCAGAGAUAUGGAGGAACACCAGUGGCGAAGGCGACUUUCUGGUCUGUAACUGACGCUGAUGUGCGAAAGCGUGGGGAUCAAACAGGAUUAGAUACCCUGGUAGUCC
rnacentral:rRNA from 1 species